rnacentral:rRNA from 1 species
AGUGAACGCUGGCGGUAGGCCUAACACAUGCAAGUCGAACGGCAGCACAGUAAGAGCUUGCUCUUACGGGUGGCGAGUGGCGGACGGGUGAGGAAUACAUCGGAAUCUACUUUUUCGUGGGGGAUAACGUAGGGAAACUUACGCUAAUACCGCAUACGACCUACGGGUGAAAGCAGGGGAUCUUCGGACCUUGCGCGAUUGAAUGAGCCGAUGUCGGAUUAGCUAGUUGGCGGGGUAAAGGCCCACCAAGGCGACGAUCUGUAGCUGGUCUGAGAGGAUGAUCAGCCACACUGGAACUGAGACACGGUCCAGACUCCUACGGGAGGCAGCAGUGGGGAAUAUUGGACAAUGGGCGCAAGCCUGAUCCAGCCAUACCGCGUGGGUGAAGAAGGCCUUCGGGUUGUAAAGCCCUUUUGUUGGGAAAGAAAGCAGCAGGUUAAUACCCCGCUGUUCUGACGGUACCCAAAGAAUAAGCACCGGCUAACUUCGUG